rnacentral:tRNA from 1 species
UGGCUCAAUGAUAGAGUGCUUGCCUUGCACGCAUGAGGCCCUGGGUUCAAUUCCUAG